rnacentral:rRNA from 1 species
AACGAACGCUGGCGGCAGGCUUAACACAUGCAAGUCGAACGAGAUCUUCGGAUCUAGUGGCAGACGGGUGAGGAACACGUGGGAACAUCCCUUUCAGUUCGGAAUAACGUUGGGAAACUAACGCUAAUACCGGAUACGUCCUUCGGGAGAAAGAUUUAUCGCUGAAAGAUUGGCCCGCGUUGGAUUAGCUAGUUGGUGGGGUAAAGGCCUACCAAGGCGACGAUCCAUAGCUGGUCUGAGAGGAUGACCAGCCACAUUGGGACUGAGACACGGCCCAAACUCCUACGGGAGGCAGCAGUGGGGAAUAUUGGACAAUGGGGGCAACCCUGAUCCAGCUAUGCCGCGUGAGUGAUGACGGCCUUCGGGUUGUAAAGCUCUUUUGUCCGGGAAGAUAAUGACUGUACCGGAAGAAUAAGCCCCGGCAAACUUCGUGCCAGCCGCCGCGGUAA